GACGAACGCUGGCGGCGUGCUUAACACAUGCAAGUCGAACGAAGUGGCGAACGGGUGAGUAACGCGUAAUCAACCUGCCCUUCAGAGGGGGACAACAGUUGGAAACGACUGCUAAUAACGCAUACUGAAGGAGGGGAUUGCGUCUGAUUAGUCAGGUGGAGGGGUAACGGACCACCAAGGCGAUGAUCAGUAGCCGGUCUGAGAGUGUGAACGGCCACAUUGGGACGGAGACACGGCCCAGACUCCUACGGGAGGCAGCAGUGGGGAAUCGUCCGCAAUGGACGAAAGUCUGACGGAGCAACGCCGCGUGAGUGAUGACGGCCUUCGGGUUGGAAAGCUCUGUUAAUCGGGACGCGGGACCGGAAUAGAAAGCCACGGCUAACUACGUGCCAGCAGCCGCGGUAAUUC
rnacentral:rRNA from 1 species